rnacentral:lncRNA from 1 species
ACAGCUCUUACAAAGACACCUGACAGUGAAGAAGAAAUGAAAAGGAUCAUGACUGAGGUUGUACAGCCAAGAAGAACUCACCCAACUGAACUGCCCGGAGCAUUCCCUGAUCUUGAAAGCGCAUUAGAGUUUGUACAUUAUCAACUCAUGACAGUAGAUCAAGCUAGAACCGAAGAGCCACCAACCCAACCAAUUGAACUUACCGCUGUGACAGACAGCAUCAUGAUCACUACUAAAAGGGUACCACCUCAGGAGGGAUCAAUUGUUCCUUGUGAGUCCUCUGCAGUAUCUGAAUUUGACAUGAACCAUACAGCUGGUGCAGAACUACAGGCCUUGGCAGAAGCAGGCCCAAAUCAGAUUGCUGUUCCUGUAUGUCAGAGCCUGCCUGCAUUUCCAACUCAUCAACUAGGUGAAUGUUCAGCUGAGCCAGCACAAUCACAUGAUGUUUCAGCAUUCUUGGUGGAUAAUUAUCCAGUGACUCUGGAAGAUCUGGAGGAAUUUCAUGCAGCACAGGACUAUCUUUUGGAGCCUACUGUAAUGCCAGAUUCUGAAACCAGUCACCCGGCCUCUGAAUUUCAUGAUCUCCCAGAAAGUUCAUUGGCGGACCACCCUAAUAAUGAGGCACUGACUCAUGCAGAGCCAGAUGCAACUGAGGAAGCAAGUUGCGUUCCUCAUCAGCCAAUUGCAACCUCUCAAUUUGAAACAAAUGCAUCUGAAUUUUCCAAUCCCAUGGCUCCAUUUGCAGUAACUGAGCAGAAUGAUGUGCAAGUACAUACAAUCAGUGGAGCAAUAGGCCCAUAUCAUAGCACUGUUCCAGAAUGUCAAAACCAGUCUGCAUCACCAACUCAUCAACAUGAUGAAUCAUACACCCAACCAGCACUUGAAUCUCUUGAUAUUGCAAUGAACUUCCCAGAUAGCAACCCAGUGAGUCAAGAAGAUCUUCAAGCACUACAAGAAGCAUUGAGCUGUGUUUGUGAGCCUUCAUCACCAUCUUAUUUUGAUAUUCAUGUGCCAGCAUCUCCUAAUCUCACAGAAAGUCCAAUGGCUCACAGCCCAAUCAGUAGAUCUCUGACUGAUAAAGAAGAAAAAUGCAUUUCAGGAAUCACUCAAUCCUCCUCAUCAACCCACUGCAACAUCUCAAAGCCAACCAUCCAACAUCUGAAUUCUCCAGUCUCACAGGCAAUAUGAGUCUCCAUUUCCAUUCACCAAACAAUGAACUGAUGUACAGCUACAUGCACCCGUUGCGGCAACAUACCCAUAUCAUAAUGCCUUUUCAGAACUUCAAGACCUGCCUGCAUCACCGACUUGUCAACCAGCUGAAAUUUCAUCUCAGCCAGCAACUAGCAUCCUGAAUCUUGUGAACAUGAAGGCAUGCAUUCUUCUUUGGUGCAGGGAUAUAUGUUUACAUGUGAAAGAGUUCAAAUUCAAUUGAUUGAACUCAAAUAUGGAAACUUUUUCAUGAUUGUCAUUCCAAACUGGUGUAACUGUUCUUUUGCCGUCUGUUUGCUGCAAAAGCAUCAAACUUUGAUGUUUCGCUUCUUCAUUAUCUGUUAGUUCAUAACCAUAGCUAGAUAUAAAAAGCAUUAUUUUUUGGAAAAAAAUAAAAACAACAAAUUUGCAUUUUAGAAUUGUUCCAAAUAUUCGCUUUUUAGGUUUUAUAAAAAUAAUAAGUCAAAAGAUAAAAAAGUCAGAACUUCUGAAAAAUCUCUGUAAUUUAGGAACUAAGAACCUUGCAUUGGUUCUGUUAUUCUCCACCAUGCGGUUCAAGCCAUAAAUCCACCUGCUCAGGAUCGAGUGAGAAUCCUACUUCACAAUUCAGUUUUAUGAAUCUUUGGUAUCACUUUGGUCAACUCUAAACCCUUUUUUUGGGGUGGGCGGGGGUUGGGAACACAAUUGUCCCUGAGGUUUGGUGGGAUUACAGUGGCAUUCCCUCGUCCUUAGAAAAAGACAUGCACCUUCUUUCAGACAUGUUUUAUUGACAAAAGCUUGCCACCAUUAGUCAACCAUCAGGUCGACUAAUGAAUUUG